rnacentral:lncRNA from 1 species
UCAACUAAGGAGGAAUCCUUCUUAACCAUAAUAUUGAAUUCCCCAAAGCACUAUCAUGCUACACGAUUGAAAAGAAAACCUCAUUACUUAUAUUCUUUAUUACUAUCUAUAUAUAUUGGUUUAUACUUUAAAGAUAUCUGAAAUGAUACAUAUUUCUUUAUGUGUCCGAGAUCUAUGAAAAACUGUAUGGAUUGCAAAAUUCUUCCUGACUUAACUUCAUGGUCUCCUAUUUACGAUGG